GACGAACGCUGGCGGCGUGCUUAACACAUGCAAGUCGAGCGGUAAGGCCCUUUCGGGGGUACACGAGCGGCGAACGGGUGAGUAACACGUGGGUGACCUGCCCUCAGCUCUGGGAUAAGCCCGGGAAACUGGGUCUAAUACCGGAUAUGACUCCAUGACGCAUGCUGUGGGGUGGAAAGCCUUGUGCGGCUGAGGAUGGGCCCGCGGCCUAUCAGCUUGUUGGUGGGGUGAUGGCCUACCAAGGCGACGACGGGUAGCCGGCCUGAGAGGGCGACCGGCCACACUGGGACUGAGAUACGGCCCAGACUCCUACGGGAGGCAGCAGUGGGGAAUCUUGCGCAAUGGGCGAAAGCCUGACGCAGCGACGCCGCGUGAGGGAUGACGGCCUGGUGU
rnacentral:rRNA from 1 species